CUAUGCGCCUUGCCAGCCCGCUCAGGUGUGCCAGCAGCCGCGGUAAUACGUAGGUGGCAAGCGUUAUCCGGAUUUAUUGGGCGUAAAGCGAGCGCAGGCGGUUGCUUAGGUCUGAUGUGAAAGCCUUCGGCUUAACCGAAGAAGUGCAUCGGAAACCGGGCGACUUGAGUGCAGAAGAGGACAGUGGAACUCCAUGUGUAGCGGUGGAAUGCGUAGAUAUAUGGAAGAACACCAGUGGCGAAGGCGGCUGUCUGGUCUGCAACUGACGCUGAGGCUCGAAAGCGUGGGGAGCAAACAGG
rnacentral:rRNA from 1 species